UCCGACGGACUGAGGUUUCCUCGGAAUUCCGUCGGUAUAUUCCGAGGAAAUUCCUCGGUAUAUUCCGAGGAUUUCAUUUUCCGUCGGAAUGUCCGUCAGAAUACCGUUGUUUUCUUGUAGUGGAGGGGUAUUUUUUGACACGUGGCAAGUGAAUAAUUCUAUGUUUUCGUUUGAUUUCUUCCUUUGGUGUGCUGGGCUUUUCUUUGGUCAUUUCUAAAAAAAAUGUAGAUUUUUGGAGAUUGGGUUUUUGCUAAAGGUUAUGUUCAGGCCCAGCAAGUAGGGUUGUGUCGUCUUCCUAUCUUCAACAUUCAUAGCUCUGCUCGCUGAACAAAUCACCGUAACAUCUCCUGAUAGCAUUAAAACAUAUUUUAAUCUGAUCUUUAACGUGAUUGCCCCAUUAUUUCAUAUCUCAAACAUUCAAUCAACCUCAUCAUCUCCCAUAGUAACCGACGGAAGCUCGGACUAUAAAUCUCCAAUCUCCAGCGAUGAACAGCAUAGAAUCAACCAAAUCACGAAGAACAGUCUCUGCUAAUUACCACGACCGUCUCUUAUAAACUGCUAAUAAAAGACAUAUAUCUGCUAAUUCAUAUCUUGUAUUCUAUUUUAGCCAGGCUGUUGUCAUCCCACUUCUUCGUUUCUCAUAGGAGCAUAAUGUGAAGAAAGGAGGUGAUUCUCUGCUACUGGAAGAUAAGUGUCUCCAAUAGGGCAUAAAGAUGCAUACAAGAUUUUGAGUGCGCAAGGAAAGCAAAAUCGGUUGAAACCUCAUCAUAGCACGUACAAAAUUUUAGUGGGGAAUCUGAAGACGAUUUGCUAGAGACGGUGGUUUAAGAAGCUUUGUUGACUCUUCUACCAAUAAUAAUGUAAUUAUUUUUCUUUUUUUUGUAAAACUUCUUUUUGUAACACCAAUUAUUUUUCAUUUAUCUCAGUCUUUCUCUGUGUAUUUGAAAUGAUGAUGAAGUCUACAAGGCACACUGAGACAUAGGAUUCACUCG